GCGCUCGUAGCUCAGUUGGAUAGAGCGUCUGACUACGAAUCAGAAGGUCGCAGGUUCGAGUCCUGCCGAGCGCG
rnacentral:tRNA from 3 species